rnacentral:rRNA from 1 species
UACGUAGGGUGCGAGCGUUUGUCCGGAAUUAUUGGGCGUAAAGAGCUUGUAGGCGGUUUGUCGCGUCUGCCGUGAAAAUCCGGGGCUCAACCCCGGACUUGCGGUGGGUACGGGCAGACUAGAGUGUGGUAGGGGAGACUGGAAUUCCUGGUGUAGCGGUGAAAUGCGCAGAUAUCAGGAGGAACACCGAUGGCGAAGGCGGGUCUCUGGGCCGAUACUGACGCUGAGGAGCGAAAGCGUGGGGAGCGAACAGG